GUAUCCUGCAUCUACUGGCCCAGAUCCAAUGGAGCAUGCAAUGUGCUCUUUGCCAUUAGCAUCAAUGAGUUUAACAGUUGCAGUAGAGAGACCAAGUGUUCCACAAGUAACCUGCAGAUCACUAAGCUUCCACACAAUUUCAGGCUGAAAAACUUCAUCUGACACCAAUGCUAUCAGGUCCGCAUCAGUGACUCUCUUUUUUUGUUCAGCUACUGCCUUGAAACUCCAAAAGAUAUUGCCAAGUUGCUCAUCAUUCAAUUCAUAACCAAGCUCUUUUAGUCGAUCUUUCAAAGCAUGGCGGCCACUGAGUUUUCCAAG
rnacentral:misc_RNA from 1 species